AUGCACCAUGUUCAGUACAAGUUCAAGACAACUCCAUUACAUGUUUAUCGCAGGGCAUUACAAAAUCCACAUAAUAUUGCCAAUGCAUCAAGUACUGCAAAAAGUGAAUUACAAGAUAUUUCAUACAAGGAUCCAUAUGCUAACUUAUCCUAUUUUAUGCCAAAUAUUAAACUCCAAUUGUCUUCUUUGAAGCAUGUCACCAUCAAUAUCCAAUCUGCACGAUAA